CCAGUGAAUUGUAAUACGACUCACUAUAGGGCGAAUUGGGCCCUCUAGAUGCAUGCUCGAGCGGCCGCCAGUGUGAUGGAUAUCUGCAGAAUUCGCCCUUCAGGCCUAACACAUGCAAGUCGAACGCCCUCUUCGGAGGGAGUGGCAGACGGGUGAGUAACACGUGGGAACGUGCCCGAAGGUACGGAACAACUCCGGGAAACUGGAGCUAAUACCGUAUGUGUCCGCAAGGAGAAAGAUUUAUCGCCUUCGGAUCGGCCCGCGUCAGAUUAGCUAGUUGGUGGGGUAAAAGCCUACCAAGGCGACGAUCUGUAGCUGUUCUUAGAGGAAGACCAGCCACACUGGGACUGAGACACGGCCCAGACUCCUACGGGAGGCAGCAGUGGGGAAUCUUGGACAAUGGGCGCAAGCCUGAUCCAGCCAUGCCGCGUGGAUGACGAAGGCCUUAGGGUUGUAAAAUCCUUUCAGCGGGGACGAUAAUGACG
rnacentral:rRNA from 1 species